rnacentral:rRNA from 1 species
UACGAGGGGGGCGAGCGUUGUUCGGAAUUAUUGGGCGUAAAGGGUGCGUAGGCGGUUUGAUAAGUCUGAUGUGAAAUCUAUGGGCUCAACCCAUAGCCUGCAUUAGAAACUGUCGGGCUUGAGUAUGGGAGAGGUGAGUGGAAUUUCCGGUGUAGCGGUGAAAUGCGUAGAUAUCGGGAAGAACACCCGUGGCGAAGGCGGCUCACUGGCCCGGUACUGACGCUGAGGCGCGAAGGUCAGGGGAGCAAACGGG